ACGUGACACUUACCCCCAAAAGUGACACAGUUACCGUCAUAAUUUUGCACCUGUGCUCACUUUCAGAUAUCGGUGGGGAUGCUGUGGACCUCUUUGGUAACUAUGCAGGCUCACUGAACGAGGAACCGGCCUACUUCGAUCUGAGCGAGAACCAGCUGAAGUGGCAGGAGAGAGUGCAGGCUCUCAAGGUGCGCCUCGCUGUCGAGCAGGGCCUGCAUGACGUGCUCUUCAAGGAGGGCUUCAGCGAGCGCAUGCCGCCCAGGUGAGGCCUGAGCCGCCCAGGUGAGCCACCUGCGUGGGUCACCCAGAUGAGCCACUUGGGUGAGCCACCCAGGUGAGCCACCUAGGCAGGACACCCGGGCGAGCCAUCCAGGCGAGCCACCUGGUUAAGCCCCCAGAGGUGAGUCACCCAGGCUGGCCAUACAGGUGGGCCACCCAGAUAAGCCACCUGGGCGAGACACCCAGGUGAGGCACCUGGGUUGAGCCACUCGUCACUCAGGUGAUUCCUUCUGACGAUACGCCACGGCAUGCGUGGUCCUGUAAUGAGACUUCUCACU